GAUGAACGCUGGCGGCGUGCCUAACACAUGCAAGUCGAGCGAUUUACUUCGGUAAAGAGCGGCGGACGGGUGAGUAACGCGUGGGUAACCUGCCUCAUACACAUGGAUAACAUACCGAAAGGUAUGCUAAUACAAGAUGAUAUAAGAGAUUCGCAUGGAUUUCUUAUCAAAGCUCCGGCGGUAUGAGAUGGACCCGCGUCUGAUUAGCUAGUUGGUAAGGUAACGGCUUACCAAGGCGACGAUCAGUAGCCGACCUGAGAGGGUGAUCGGCCACAUUGGAACUGAGACACGAUCCAAACUCCUACGGGAGGCAGCAGUGGGGAAUAUUGCACAAUGGGCGAAAGCCUGAUGCAGCAACGCCGCGUGGGCGAUGAAGGCCUUCGGGUCGUAAAGCUCUGUCCUCAAGGAAGAUAAUGACGGUACUUGAGGAGGAAGCCCCGGCUAACUACGUGCCAGCCGCCGCGGUAACAC
rnacentral:rRNA from 1 species